rnacentral:rRNA from 1 species
AACGAACGCUGGCGGCAGGCUUAACACAUGCAAGUCGAACGCGUGUAGCAAUACACGAGUGGCGCACGGGUGAGUAACGCGUGGAUAUCUGCCUUUUGGUUCGGAAUAACUCCGGGAAACUGGAGCUAAUACCGGAUGGUUCCUACGGGAUAAAGAUUUAUCGCCAAAAGAUGAGUCCGCGUACGAUUAGCUAGUUGGUGAGGUAAUGGCUCACCAAGGCGACGAUCGUUAGCUGGUCUGAGAGGACGAUCAGCCACACUGGGACUGAGACACGGCCCAGACUCCUACGGGAGGCAGCAGUGGGGAAUAUUGGACAAUGGGGGCAACCCUGAUCCAGCCAUGCCGCGUGAGUGAUGAAGGCCUUCGGGUUGUAAAGCUCUUUGGUCGGGGACGAUGAUGACGGUACCCGCAGAAUAAGCCCCGGCUAACUUCGUGCCAGCAGCCGCGGUAAU